rnacentral:rRNA from 1 species
AAAGAGAAGCGACCUCGCGAGAGCAAGCGGACCUCAUAAAGUAUGUCGUAGUCCGGAUUGGAGUCUGCAACUCGACUCCAUGAAGUCGGAAUCGCUAGUAAUCGUGGAUCAGAAUGCCACGGUGAAUACGUUCCCGGGCCUUGUACACACCGCCCGUCACACCAUGGGAGUGGGUUGCAAAAGAAGUAGGUAGCUUAACCUUCGGGAGGGCGCUUACCACUUUGUGAUUCAUGACUGGGGUGAAGUCGUAACAAGGUAACCGUAGGGGAACCUGCGGUUGGAUCACCUCCUUACCUU